AUGCUCAACUUGGCCUUCCUCAAAGGCAUGGAGGAGGCGAGGAAGUUCUUGCCGCCCAACAGCAGCCUCCCGGCCAUGAAGGUGGACCAAGUGGUGGCCGGAGUGCACGCUGGAGCCGGCCUCAAGAAAAAGAGGGACACUCUAGAGCCAGACAUGGGCAGGGCCAGCAAAUUGAUGAUGCCGGAGCAGGAGGAGGAUGGCGCACGAGAGCUGUUCGACGAAAUGAUGUUCCAGGAACACGAGAUAUGCAUGAAGGGGGUUCAGCAGCUUCGCGUCGCUGUGGACAGUGAACCCGGGAAGAACAGACGGAAGAAGGGUCGGCCAAGACGGGACUCGAGUGAUAGUGAGAUGGUGGACCUGCGCACGCUGCUGCUCAACUGCGCCCAGGCGCUGUCCACAGACAACCGGCGGACCGCAAGUGAGCUGCUGAAAAGAAUCAGGCAGCAUUCGACCCCAAAGGGUGAUGCGGCGCAAAGGCUAGCGCAUUAUUUUGCCGAGGCGCUGGAUGCACGGCUGGCGGGUAGGGGGAGCGAGCUGUACCAGUCGCUCAUGGCAAGGCGUACCUCGGUUGCAGACUUUCUCAAGGCCAACCAGCUUUACAUGGCAGCUUGCUGCUGCAAGAAGGUGGCCUUCAUCUUUGCCAAUAAGACCAUCUGCAAUGCUGUGGUAGGGAAGAGCCGGUUGCACAUUGUGGACUAUGGUCUGAGUCAAGGACUGCAGUGGCCGGGCCUGUUAUGUAUGCUUGCAGCUAGAGAAGGUGGACCACCAGAGGUGAAGAUCACCGGCAUUGACCUCCCUCAACCUGGGUUCCAAGGAGCCUACCACAUUGAGGAGACGGGGCGCAGGCUCAGCAACUUCGCCCGCGUGUUCGGUGUGCCGUUUAAGUUCCAUGGUAUUGCAGCAAAGCGGGAGACAGUCCAGCCGGAGGACCUGAGCAUCGACCGUGAUGAGGUGCUUGUGGUGAUUAGUCUUUGCCAUUUCAGGCUUUUGAUGGACGAAAACCUCGGCCUUGAUACUCCGAGCCCCAGGGAUCAGGUCCUCAACAACAUCAGGAAGAUGCGGCCAGAUGUGUUCAUCCAUGGCAUUAUGAAUGGCUCGUAUGGUGCUACAUACUUCCUGACACGGUUCAGGGAGGCAUUGUUCAAUUACUCGGCCCAAUUCGACCUGCUGGAUGCGACAGUCCCCCGGGAUAACGAAGGGCGUCUGCUGCUUGAGCGCGACAUCUUUGGGCGGUCUGCCCUGAAUGUCAUUGCAUGUGAGGGCUCAGACCGCGUGGAGCGCCCUGAGACAUACAAGCAGUGGCAGCUCCGGAACCACCGGGCUGGGCUGAGGCAGCUGCCAUUGAAUCCAGAUGUUGUUAGGCUUGUGCUGGACAAGGUUAAGGACAACUACCACAAGGACUUCGUCGUUGAUGAGGAUCAGCGGUGGUUGCUGCACAGGUGGAAGGGGCGUGUGCUCUAUGCCCUGUCAACAUGGGUUGCCGACAAUGCAACCUAG
rnacentral:rRNA from 1 species